rnacentral:ncRNA from 2 species
AAGGGAUUCCGUGGUGAUUUGCGGCGUAUUGCGGCCACGUAAAACAACCCGCUAAAAAGCCGGAGCCGAUCCUGC